GCGUUAAGUUGCAGGGUAUAGACCCGAAACCCGGUGAUCUAGCCAUGGGCAGGUUGAAGGUUGGGUAACACUAACUGGAGGACCGAACCGACUAAUGUUGAAAAAUUAGCGGAUGACCUGUGGCUGGGGGUGAAAGGCCAAUCAAACCGGGAGAUAGCUGGUUCUCCCCGAAAGCUAUUUAGGUAGCGCCUCGUGAAUUCAUCUCCGGGGGUAGAGCACUGUUUCGGCUAGGGGGCCAUCCCGGCUUACCAACCCGAUGCAAACUGCGAAUACCGGAGAAUGUUAUCACGGGAGACACACGGCGGGUGCUAACGUCCGUCGUGAAGAGGGAAACAACCCAGACCGCCAGCUAAGGUCCCAAAGUCAUGGUUAAGUGGGAAACGAUGUGGGAAGGCCCAGACAGCCAGGAUGUUGGCUUAGAAGCAGCCAUCAUUUAAAGAAAGCGUAAUAGCUCACUGGUCGAGUCGGCCUGCGCGGAAGAUGUAACGGGGCUAAACCAUGCACCGAAGCUGCGGCAGCGACGCUGAUGCGUUGUUGGGUAGGGGAGCGUUCUGUAAGCCUGCGAAGGUGGCCUGUGAGGGUUGCUGGAGGUAUCAGAAGUGCGAAUGCUGACAUAAGUAACGAUAAAGCGGGUGAAAAGCCCGCUCGCCGGAAGACCAAGGGUUCCUGUCCAACGUUAAUCGGGGCAGGGUGAGUCGACCCCUAAGGCGAGGCCGAAAGGCGUAGUCGAUGGGAAACGGGUUAAUAUUCCCGUACUUGGUGUUACUGCGAAGGGGGGACGGAGAAGGCUAUGUUGGCCGGGCGACGGUUGUCCCGGUUUAAGCGUGUAGGUGUGUGUUCCAGGUAAAUCCGGUUCACUUUAACACUGAGGCGUGAUGACGAGGCACUACGGUGCUGAAGCAACAAAUGCCCUGCUUCCAGGAAAAGCCUCUAAGCAUCAGGUAACAUCAAAUCGUACCCCAAACCGACACAGGUGGUCAGGUAGAGAAUACCAAGGCGCUUGAGAGAACUCGGGUGAAGGAACUAGGCAAAAUGGUGCCGUAACUUCGGGAGAAGGCACGCUGACACGUAGGUGAAGUGAUUUACUCAUGGAGCUGAAGUCAGUCGAAGAUACCAGCUGGCUGCAACUGUUUAUUAAAAACACAGCACUGUGCAAACACGAAAGUGGACGUAUACGGUGUGACGCCUGCCCGGUGCCGGAAGGUUAAUUGAUGGGGUCAGCGCAAGCGAAGCUCCUGAUCGAAGCCCCGGUAAACGGCGGCCGUAACUAUAACGGUCCUAAGGUAGCGAAAUUCCUUGUCGGGUAAGUUCCGACCUGCACGAAUGGCGUAAUGAUGGCCAGGCUGUCUCCACCCGAGACUCAGUGAAAUUGAACUCGCUGUGAAGAUGCAGUGUACCCGCGGCAAGACGGAAAGACCCCGUGAACCUUUACUAUAGCUUGACACUGAACAUUGAGCCUUGAUGUGUAGGAUAGGUGGGAGGCUUUGAAGUGUGGACGCCAGUCUGCAUGGAGCCGACCUUGAAAUACCACCCUUUAAUGUUUGAUGUUCUAACGUGGACCCGUGAUCCGGGUUGCGGACAGUGUCUGGUGGGUAGUUUGACUGGGGCGGUCUCCUCCUAAAGAGUAACGGAGGAGCACGAAGGUUGGCUAAUCCUGGUCGGACAUCAGGAGGUUAGUGCAAUGGCAUAAGCCAGCUUGACUGCGAGCGUGACGGCGCGAGCAGGUGCGAAAGCAGGUCAUAGUGAUCCGGUGGUUCUGAAUGGAAGGGCCAUCGCUCAACGGAUAAAAGGUACUCCGGGGAUAACAGGCUGAUACCGCCCAAGAGUUCAUAUCGACGGCGGUGUUUGGCACCUCGAUGUCGGCUCAUCACAUCCUGGGGCUGAAGUAGGUCCCAAGGGUAUGGCUGUUCGCCAUUUAAAGUGGUACGCGAGCUGGGUUUAGAACGUCGUGAGACAGUUCGGUCCCUAUCUGCCGUGGGCGCUGGAGAACUGAGGGGGGCUGCUCCUAGUACGAGAGGACCGGAGUGGACGCAUCACUGGUGUUCGGGUUGUCAUGCCAAUGGCACUGCCCGGUAGCUAAAUGCGGAAGAGAUAAGUGCUGAAAGCAUCUAAGCACGAAACUUGCCCCGAGAUGAGUUCU
rnacentral:rRNA from 1 species